rnacentral:sRNA from 1 species
GGACCGAACCCAGGGCCUUGCGCUUCCUAGAACGUUCUAGAACUUCAAGCACCUGCCAGUACUUAAAGGAGCUCAGAGUCCAGGGAUGGAGCGUUUUGGAGUGGGAUAGACCAGAACCUCUUCUUUCAAGGGACCAGCUGGAAAUGCUUGCUUGGUUCUGGGAAGGAGAUUCAAGACUCAAUGUACAGAAGAGAUGGAAGGGUGAGCCAGACUCUGCGAUUCAUCUGGGGAGAGACUCACAAGGGGGCAGGGGAGGUGGGGUCUAUCAGAGCUUGGGGCCGGACACUGAGGACAAAGACUAGGGAAUGAUAGCACCUGACUUUAGGGCUGAGGAGCCACUCAGGAAGGUUCUAGGAGCGUGAUGAAGCCAUUGGCACAUGCAGAUUGCUCUCUCUCCAUGAAGUUUGGUAACAAUGACUCAACUCAGACCAGGGCUGAGCUAGUCAACCUUUCCAACGCAGGCCCCAUGGCAAAGGACAGCUUUGCUGGGCUUGACUGUGCAAGCCUCCUUCAACUUGGGCAAGCAGCACCACUUACACUCUUGUAUCUUUUGCCAAUCAACAUAAAAACCAUGUACUUAUAAUCCCGGCACUGGGGAGGUGUACACAAGUAGACCCCAUCGGCCAGCUAGCCUAGCUGAAUAGAUAGGUUCCAAGCUCAGAGACAGACCCUCUCAAAACCUAAGACAGAGAGUAACCGAGGAAGACACCUGACAUCAACCUCUGGCUUCUAUCCAUCCAUGCAGAGGUGUGCAAGCAUACAUGUGCACACCUAUGUGCAAGUCCCACACACAAACACACACGAAUGCACGUGCCAUUCCUAGAAACCAACCAGGUCUGCUCAUAGGUGUUAGCCACCAAAGUGUAAUACAUCCAAAAUAGUGAUGUCAGCCUUACAGUCCCCAUGAUCUCCUGGAACUUCUACUCAAUGUGUCAUGGGUCAGAGAGCAUGAAGUGGUCUUUUUCUAAAUUCAGACUCUGGCCGUUUCCUCACACAAAACCACAGCUCGUGUGGGCCCAGUUCCAUUCACAGACCAGUGGAACUCAGGCAACAUCUGCUUGGUGCAUGUUCUUGGCAUGUCUUACUGUGGGUUGAGUAGCAGCGUAACUGGGAAAUGUGUCACGUGCUAUGACCUGAAACAUUGUAUUUAGGGUUUUUUUUUUUUAACCCUAAUUAAUAAAGCUGCAUCAUUCAUUUCUCUAAACAGGAGCGGGGGUUGUAAGCUACAAUUAAAUAUCAUGUAUGUUUGAACUUGGAAAUGAAAUCUCAAACUAUUUCCAUUUCAACUCUUCAGAUGAGUUGAAUUAAAGUGUGUCUUACAGUUUGUAAGGUGAGAUGCGUGGAAAAGAAAAACCCAGUUUCAAAACAUGGUGUGUGUGAAUCAGUUGUUAUUGCAAUCAAGGUGGAAAUGUAGAAAUAAUGUAUACAGUAGAUACAGAGGCUGGUGUGGGAAUGAAUUAUCACCUAGACCAGAAGUAGGCAGACUUUUCUACAAGAAGCCAGACAAUGGGUACUUUUGGCUUGGAGAAGGUAAUGUGUCAUCUUCAUGGUGGAUACAUGGCUUUUCACAUCAAAUGAAAGCAUAGCAUCUAUGGUCAUGGCUUUGUGCUAACUAUACACCAUUUGCAGACCCUGAGAUCUAAAUUAUAUACAAUUUCCCCCAUGCUGUGCAAUACUAUUUCUCUUUUAAAUAUUGCCCAAAGUUUACAAAUACAGAAACCGUUUAUAAAUCACGAGCCAUCGUAAUUUGCUGUUUGAAUCGAUAACCUUUUUUUUUUUUCUCUCUUUUCUUCCCUCACUCCGAAUCGAUAACCUUGAGCUGGAUGUUGCUGUCAUCAAUCGAGUGGUGAUCAACUCCAAAAGAUGGAUGUAGAUGACAGUGGAAAGAGACAGGGCCGUGUGAGGAAGGAAGGAGCUUGCUUCAACUACUGGCAGUGUUUGGCUUCUUCUCUUGGCCGUGGUUACAUACAUGUCAACACCGUAAUUACUCAUGAAACUUCGUAGUACAGCCUAGGCUUUCUUUCACGCCUAUAAAAUGCUUCAUAAUGCAAACAUUUGAAAACAGACAG